GUGGGGAAUUUUGCGCAAUGGGGGAAACCCUGACGCAGCGACGCCGCGUGGAGGACGAAGGCCUUCGGGUUGUAAACUCCUUUUAUGAGGGAAGAUGAUGACGGUACCUCAUGAAUAAGCCACGGCUAACUCUGUGCCAGCAGCCGCGGUAAGACAGAGGUGGCAAGCGUUGUUCGGAAUCACUGGGCUUAAAGGGCGUGUAGGCGGUUUGGUAAGUCUGAAGUGGAAUCCCACGGCUCAACCGUGGAAUUGCUUUGGAAACUGCUUAACUUGAGUCAGCGAGGGGAUGGCGGAAUUCCUGGUGUAGCAGUGAAAUGCGUAGAUAUCAGGAGGAAGGCCGGUGGCGAAGGCGGCCAUCUGGCGCUUGACUGACGCUGAGACGCGAAAGCGUGGGGAGCAAACAGGAUUAGAUACCCGAGUAGUCC
rnacentral:rRNA from 1 species